rnacentral:rRNA from 1 species
GAGUUUGAUCCUGGCUCAGGAUGAACGCUAGCGACAGGCCUAACACAUGCAAGUCGAGGGGUAACAGGAGUAGCUUGCUACUAGAUGACGACCGGCGCACGGGUGAGUAACGCGUAUGCAACCUGCCUUAUACUGGGGGAUAGCCCAGAGAAAUCUGGAUUAAUACCGCAUAAUGAUCGAAUUUCGCAUGAUUUUUAAUUUAAAACUCCGGUGGUAUAAGAUGGGCAUGCGUAACAUUAGCUAGUUGGUAAGGUAACGGCUUACCAAGGCAACGAUGUUUAGGGGGUCUGAGAGGAUAGUCCCCCACACUGGUACUGAGACACGGACCAGACUCCUACGGAAGGCAGCAGUGAGGAAUAUUGGUCAAUGGGCGCAAGCCUGAACCAGCCAUGUCGCGUGUAGGAUGACUGCCCUAUGGGUUGUAAACUACUUUUUUACAGGAAUAAACUUUUCCACGUGUGGGAAACUGAAGGUACUGUAGGAAUAAGGAUCGGCUAACUCCGUGCCAGCAGCCGCGGUAAUACGGAGGAUUCGAGCGUUAUCCGGAUUUAUUGGGUUUAAAGGGUCCGUAGGCGGGCUUGUAAGUCAGUGGUGAAAUCUCACAGCUCAACUGUGAAACUGCCAUUGAUACUGCAGGUCUUGAAUUUAGUUGAGGUGGGCGGAAUACGAUAUGUAGCGGUGAAAUGCAUAGAUAUAUCGUAGAACACCGAUUGCGAAGGCAGCUCACUAAACUAAUAUUGACGCUGAUGGACGAAAGCGUGGGGAGCGAACAGGAUUAGAUACCCUGGUAGU